rnacentral:rRNA from 1 species
UAGGGAAUCUUCCACAAUGGGCGAAAGCCUGAUGGAGCAACGCCGCGUGUGUGAUGAAGGGUUUCGGCUCGUAAACACUGUUGUAAGAGAAGAAUGACAUUGAGAGUAACUGUUCAAUGUGUGACGGUAUCUUACCAGAAAGGAAUGGCUAAAUACGUGUCAG